rnacentral:rRNA from 1 species
CCUACGGGAGGCAGCAGUGGGGAAUAUUGCGCAAUGGGCGAAAGCCUGACGCAGCGACGCCGCGUGAGGGAUGAAGGUCUUCGGAUUGUAAACCUCUGUCAGCAGGGAAGAACGGUCACUGUGCUAAUCAGCAGUGAAUUGACGGUACCUGCAAAGGAAGCACCGGCCAACUCCGUGCCAGCAGCCGCGGUAAUACGGAGGGUGGGGGCGUUAAUCGGAAUUACUGGGCGUAAAGCGCUCGUAGGCGGUAUGUCAAGUCAAGGGUGAAAUCCCCGCGCUCAACGUGGGAACUGCCUUUGAAACUGGCAGACUGGAGUGUGUGAGGGGAUAGUGGAAUUCGAGGUGUAGGGGUGAAAUCCGUAGAUAUCUGGAGGAACAUCAGUGGCGAAGGCGACUAUCUGGCACAUAACUGACGCUGAGGAGCGAAAGCGUGGGUAGCAAACAGGAUUAGAUACCCCAGUAGUC